rfam:Rhizobium etli CNPAF512 RHECNPAF_contig109, whole genome shotgun sequence.
CCGAGCUGCUGCGGUAAAGAGCCGUGGUGGUGAGCGCCGGAUGAAAAGUUCGGACGAGAUCCGAGCAGGU